UUACUUUUGCGUCGCAUCGGUUCCCGAAACGCCCCGGAAGGGCGCGGGGAUUAAAAGGGAAUGCCGUGAAAUCCGGCAACAGUUCCCGCUGCUGUAAGUUACGCAACAUGUUCCGGCACUCUUUGGCCACUGUCCUCCGGGACGGGAAGGCGCCGGAACGGUAACGAGUCAGAAGACCUGCCGCAUGCCGUUCAACCAA
rnacentral:ncRNA from 2 species